rnacentral:rRNA from 1 species
AUUGAACGCUGGCGGCAAGCCUAACACAUGCAAGUCGAACGAGUGGCGGACAGGUGAGUAAUGUCUGGGAAACUGCCUGAUGGAGGGGGAUCACUACUGGAAACGAUAGCUAAUACCGCAUACCAUCGGAUGUGCCCAGAUGGGAUUAGCUAGUAGGGGGGGUAAAGGCUCACCUAGGCGACGAUCCCUAGCUGGUCUGAGAGGAUGACCAGCCACACUGGAACUGUGACACGGUCCAGACGCCUACGUGAGGCAGCAGUGGGGAAUAUUGCACAAUGGGCGCAAGCCUUAUACAGCCGUGCCGCGUGUAUGAGGAAGGCCUUCGGGUUGUAAAGUACUUUCAGCGGGGAGGCGUUACCCGCAGAAGAAGCACCGGCUAACGCCGUGCCAGCAGCCGCGGUAAUAC